rnacentral:rRNA from 1 species
UGCCAGCAGCCGCGGUAACACGUAGGCACCAAGCGUUAUCCGGAUUUAUUGGGCGUAAAGAGCUCGUAGGCGGUUUGGUAAGUCGGGUGUGAAAACUCUGGGCUCAACCCAGAGAGGCCACCCGAUACUGCUAUGACUAGAGUACGGUAGGGGAGCGGGGAAUUCAUGGUGUAGCGGUGAAAUGCGCAGACAUCAUGAGGAACACCAGCGGCGAAGGCGCCGCUCUGGGCCGUAACUGACGCUGAGGAGCGAAAGCAUGGGUAGCAAACAGGAUUAGAUA